ACCUGGCUGGCUCAGUUGGUAGAGCAUGAGACUCUUGAUCUCGAGGUCGUGAGUUCAAACCCCACAUUGGGUG